CUGAUGCAAGACGGCAACAGUGUUGACUGAAACCAGGCAGUUUCAGGCCACAGCCAACUGGGGACACAGCAAUGAGUGAUGAACGGUCGGGGUCCUCUAUGCCGCGCCAUGAAACCUGAACUAACCAGACAAGUUUAUCCAGAGCUGGACACGACCCUUUGGGGGCCAUGCAGCUUUAUUAUUAUUAUUACCAUUAUUAUUAUUAUUAUUACUAUUUUGUAGAAAUAGGUCCUCACUAUGCUGCCUAGGCCAGUCUCCAACUCCUGAGCUAAAGUGAGCCUCACUCCUUGGCCUCCCAAAGUGCUGGAUUGACAGGCAGGAACCACUGUGCCCAGCCCCCACACACAUUUUUUAGUCAUCACUGUUGGGGUUUGGUCCUGGGUGUGUUGCUGGGCCUGACGGGAAGUUCCUCAACAGGUUCCUGAUGUGAAACCCCGUGUUUCUCCCCUGAAAGGGGGCAUCCAGUUUCUGUGUUGCUCUAAUCUCUGAGACAGACCUCUGCGUUUCUUCCCUUCUGCUAUCACCUUGUUGAAGAGGGUCCUGCUCUGAGGGCUGCCAGAGGUGCCUGGGCCUGCGGAGAUGCUUUUUCUUGGAAGCAAAGGCUGUGUGCAGCCAUUCUGGCCACCGUCCCUGGUAGGAGUCCUCCCCAUGCUUCUGGGAGCCGGGGCCACUGCUUGCCUCUGACUGAACACGCACUGGCAGAGGCCUAGAAUGAUGAGCUCUUACAGUGUGACUGCAGUCCGGGUCCAGCCAGGGAAAAGCUUCAUCCUAAUUAUGACUGUGGGACUCAGGCAUGUCUGUUGUUAGGUGGAGGCUUGAUCGACAGGCUCAGCCGCCCUGGUGUUCUGACUCUUGUUCCACUCACUGCACAAAAUGAAGCUGGCGGAAUAUUGCUACAAAAGAAUGAUCGUGGCAGGAGGCGGGGUAGAGCAAUGUCAGGUCACGGUGCGUCUUGCACCGAAAUAUUAAGGCAGUUGUAAUGAUCUUUGUCUCACAGAAAUGAACAGAGUGAUGAAGGAGGCUCAGAGAAAGGCAGCUGAGAAGAGCAACAAGGUAGAAAGGCUGACUUAAAGUAGAGAAAUAAAAAUUCAUCCAGCACCUCCCAAGGUCGGACAUUGGUCAAGACACGCCCAAAUAGUUCAGGUCAUUUAACUUUGCUCAAAUUCCUCAAGGCAGUUAUCACGACUCCUCCUGCUUUAGAGGUGAGAAUGCCAAGGCUCCUGAGGGCUGAGUAAGGAGCCCUGGUUUGUUUGAGUGCAGGUAACACAACAGGUGUUAAAGCCCAAUCUUCAGGGUCUUAAUCCAACAGAAGUUAACUUUCGCUUAACUUCCCAUCCUGUCCGCAUAAAAGGGCUUCAAGUCCUCAGAAGGUUCUGGAUUCAGCCUGCAUGGAACAAAGGGCCCCUCUGCUCAUUUCCAUUGCUGAGCCUGACAGGAGAGGCUGGGAUCGGAGUUCACCUUGAACCUAGGGUGGAAGGGAAGUGCAUUUUGUGAACACAUAGCACCCAGGCCAGGCACCCAAAGCCACACAGCUGCAACAGCAGCCUACAGUCCGACGCGGGUCAGGCAACGGAGUCCAAGCUCACGUGUUCUCUGACUUGAGUUUUCUGAACCUCAGAGUCCUCUCCUAUAGAAUGGAGAAAACGUCUCCUUCACAGGAUUGCUGCGAGGAUGAGCAGAGAAAAUGCCUGCAGAGGACAUUCCUGGAUGCUUAGUUAUGGACAGGGCACCAGGAGAAAGGGUGAUGCUGGAGUCUCUCUUUAGUUCUUAGGGAUCAUCAACAAAGAGGGUGUCUCCUGAAUCAAAGAUCACAGCAGAGUGUGUCCGAGAGGCCGCCUCUCACCUCCCUCCCUGGCCUCGCACACGCAGUCGGGACUGGACUUCUGAUGGCAAUUCAGUGACGCACAAUCGAAAACCAGCAGCGCGGAACAGGAGAUGGGAGCAAACUAAGCUACCGUUUCACUAACUUCACAGAGGAGCCUGACACAGAAAAAUGUAUACAUUGUUUGCCUUAAAGUGAACAAUAGGGAAUAGCUAUCGUAUCUUCAAAGCAGCUUUCCAAGAUCAAAUCCGUCGCAUCCGGAAUGCGUUUCUUUGACCUUGGAACCUCCAGGAGUGGCCAGGCUCCCCCACAGAUCACACGCAGCAUUGCCUAGAAGCCGGUAGCUCUCCCGUAGGACGCUGGGAAGCAGCCAGCUGUUCAUGUGGGAGUGUCAGCGUGCGUUCCUUUGUCAACGUCCUGCAAGAAAGAAAAGGACGUUGACAAAGGAACGCACGCCGACACUCCCACAUGAACAGCUGGCUGCUUCCCAGCGUCCUACGGGAGAGCUACCGGCUUCUAGGCAACGCUGCGUGUGAUCUGUGGGGGAGCCUGGCCACUCCUGGAGGUUCCAAGGUCAAAGAAACGCAUUCCGGAUGCGACGGAUUUGAUCUUGGAAAGCUGCUUUGAAGAUACGAUAGCUAUUCCCUAUUGUUCACUUUAAGGCAAACAAUGUAUACAUUUUUCUGUGUCAGGCUCCUCUGUGAAGUUAGUGAAACGGUAGCUUAGUUUGCUCCCAUCUCCUGUUCCGCCCUGCUGGUUUUCGAUUGUGCGUCACUGAAUUGCCAUCAGAAAUCCAGUCCCGACUGCGUGUGCGAGGCCAGGGAGGGAGGUGAGAGGCGGCCUCUCGGACACACUCUGCCAUGGGCCGGAAGCAGGAGGCACCCUCUUUGUGAUGAUCUCUGAGAGCUAAGGAGAGACUCCAGCACCACCCUUUCUCCUGGUGCCCUGUCCAUAACUAAGUGUCCAGAAGUCUCCUCCACAGGCAUUUUCUCUGCUCAUUCUCCUAGUAAUCCUGUGAAGGAGACGUGUUCUCCAUUCUAUAGGAGAGGACUCUGAGGUUCAGAAAACUCAAGUCAGAGAAAGCAUGAGGUUGGACUUCGCUUCUUGGCCCGGGUCGGACUGUAGGCUGCUGCUGGAGCUGUGCGGCUUUGGGUAGGUGGCCUGGGCACUAUGUGUUCACCAAACGCACUUCCCUUCCAUCCUGGGUGCAAGGCGACCUCCGAUCCCAGCCUUUCCUGUUGGGCUCAGCAAUGGAAACAAGCAGUGGGGCCCUGCGCUCCAUGCAGGGUGGAUCUAGAACCUUCCGAGGACUUGAAACCCUCAGAGGGGGACAGGGUGGGGAGACACAGAGAAGGCCCAGGAAUGACCUUGUGGGAAGUCGCUUAUCCACCAGGAACUCUGGUGCUGAACUUUUUCUAAGCGAAAGUUAACUUCUGUUGGAUUAAGACCCUGAAGAUUGGGCUUUAACACCUGUUGUGUUACCUGCACUCAAACAAACCAGGGCUCCUUACUCAGCCCUCGGGAGCCUUGGCAUUCUCACCUCUAAAGCAGGAGGAGUCGUGAUACCUGCCUUGAGGAAUUUGAGCAAAGUUAAACGACCUGAACUAUUUGGGCGUUUCUUGACCAAUGUCCGACCUUGGGAGGUGCUGGAUGAAUUUUUAUUUCUCUACUUUAAGUCAGCCUUUCUACCUUGUUGCUCUUCUCAGCUGCCUUUCUCUGAGCCUCCUUCAUCACUCUGUUCAUUUCUGUGAGACAAAGAUCAUUACAACUGCCUUAAUAUUUCGGUGCAAGACGCACCGUGACCUGACAUUGCUCUACCCCGCCUCCUGCCACGAUCAUUCUUUUGUAGCAAUAUUCCGCCAGCUUCAUUUCAUGCAGUGAGUGGAACAAGAGUCAGAACACCAGGGCGGCUGAGCCUAUCGAUCAAGCCUCCACCUAAUGACAGACAUACUUGAGUCCCACAGUCAUAAGGAGGAUGAAGUCUCUCUCUGGCUGGACCUGGACUGCAGUCACACUCUAAGAGCUCCUCUUUCUACACCUCUGCCAGUGGGCGUUCGGUCAGAGACAAGCUAUGGCACCGGCUCCCGGACGCACGGGAGGACUCCUACCAGGGACAGAGUCCGCACAGGUGACCUGAGUGGCUGUGCACAGCCUUUGCUUCUGAGACGUGCCGGGAGCAGGUACCAGAGCAAUGAGGAAGCAGGACCCAGACCCCUGACUCCUAACUCCAGGUGAAGUCCACCCUGAGCUCAGGAGCAGAGCUGCCUCCAUCGGGUGUGGAGAGACAGAGCCUCCUCCCCAGCCAUGCCUCCUCAUCGGCCCACGGGAGCUGCUGUGACUCUGACCCCUGUACCUGGCUCUGUCGACCGGAAUAGUCAGUGGGCAGCCAGCACACCUUUGGGUGCUCUGUAUGAGUGGGAUUUUCUCCUGAUUAGACAUUUUAAAAGAUUGUCAACAAAAAGAACAAACUCUGUAAAAUAUUGGAGAGAUUUAUUUCGAGCCAAACGUGAGUGACCACAGCCCGUGACACAGUCCUCAGGAGACCCGGAGAACGUGUGACCCAGGUGAUCAGGGCACAGCUAGGUUUUAUACAUGCUAUAGGGCAUAAGGCAUCAAUCAAUACAUUUAAGCUGUACAUCAGUUCAGACGGGAAAGGUGGCACACCAGGAAGCAGAGGCUUCCAGAUCACAGGCAGAUUCACAGAUUUUCUGAUUGGCAGUUGGUUGAAAGAGUUUAUCUAAAGACCUGGAACCAAUAGAAAGGAAAUAUCUGGGUAGGAUAAGGGGUUGUGGAGACCAAGGUUCUUAUUACGCUGAUGCAGCCUCCAGGUAGAAGACUUACAGAGAAUCGAUGGUAAAUGUUUCUUAUCAGACUUAAAAGGUGCCAGAAACUUAGUGGAGUAUUUCCUGGAUGAGGAAAAAGGCCUGGAAAGGGAACAGGAUUUUCUACAGAAUAUAGACUUUCCCCACAUGAGACAGCUCUGCAGGGACAUUUCAAGAUAUGGCCAAGAAACAUAUUUAGGGUUAAAAUAUUUGGAUUUUCUUCCUUAUCUGUCAUGUGAGGUUACACCAGAGUAAGGUUGGAAAGAGCCGAGUUACACAGGGUUAAUAAGACCCCUCCAAUGAGGCUUUGUGGUUUGUAGGGUGACCUCCCCAGGCCCCUUAGGUAGGAAUUUGGGCAGGAGAGAAAAAAGGUCAGAGUUUAGUCCUCAAGGCACAGACUUAUGUUCUUGACCCUCCUUCCAUCUGGUGGUACAUUCAGGCUAACGGAAAAAUCCUACAUAUUCCACGUUGGAUCCGUCCUCCCUCCUCCUGACUAAAGGGUUCUAGGUGUGUGUGGUGAUACAGCUGGGAUGGUUAUUCCUUCCGGAAGCUUCAUCCUGUUUUUCCUCCUUCUGAUGUCCAAAUUCCUGCCUCACACACUGGGGUCUUUUGCUUUGUCAUUCACACAUUAACACAAGGCCUGGAUGCAGAAGGCUGAUUCCUGUUAGUGCCUGUGAUGGCAGCAGUGGGCCAUCUGGUGCGGCCUGGCCCCUGCCCGCACGCAGACUGCUGCGGGGCGUGUGCAGGGAGGAGGUGGACAGCCCCCUCCCUCCACCCGCUGCCCUGGGGGCCGCCGGGAUGGAGCUAGGCGGGGUCCAGUUCACCCACCGGCGGGGCAGCCGUGCAGUGGGGCAGUAGCUCCUCCGACAGAAAGGGGCCUGAUGAGGGCUGGGCCGCACUUCGGGGAUCCGGGGCAGGAAGGGAUAGUGACACCUACUCAGGGGACCUGGCCAGCUGGGCACCCACUGUGCCCACCCCACAGAGGGUGCCGGGUUCCUGGGUCGCGGGAGGAGGCUCUGCGUGGGGGCUGCCCAGACCGUAUCCUUGGAGUCCGCCUGGCGUCGGGGUGACCACCAAGCCUGCCAUUCCUGAGGGCGGGGCCUGAGGCCCACGAUCCACUCUGCCCUGGGCCACCCCUGAGUACGGGGGCAACAGGGGGAGCUCGUGGUAAUGUUGCCCCUGCCCUGGACGCUGGCCUGAGCCCAGCAAGGAUCAGGAGCCCCUGCCUCAGGCUGCAAGGGGUCACAGUUGGGGCUGUGUGCCCCACGGAGUGGGUGGGAGCCAGGAGCAGGCAGCAGCACCGCCAAUCUCUCCCGCGCGGCUGCAGCCGCCCGAGUUGGGGCGGUAGACACGAGCCUCUGUGUGCUCUUGGAGGGCUGAGGGUAGGCAGGAGCCGUGCGCUCCUGGGUGCUGUGGCACUCCAGGGUGCCGCCCAAACUGGGGAUGCUGACCUGACCUCCUAAUCCAGGCGGGUAGGAGCCCCACCCUCCUGGACAGGGCUGCAGCCGCCCAUGUUGCGGCUGCAGAUCUGAGCCUCCCUUUGCUCUUGGGUGGGUGGGGGCAGGCAGGAGCCCUGCAUGCUCCUAGGCACUGCUGCGCUCGCGGAAGCCGCCCGAACUGGGGCUGCAGACAGGGGCCUCCAGCUCCAUGGCGCAGGCAGGAGCCCCCACCCUGCACACCCGCAGUCGCCCAAAUCUGCCGCUGCAGCCUCUGGCAUCCCUGCACUCUUGGGGGCCGGGAAGGCCACGCCUACCCUUGGGGGCUUGGAAGUGCCUCCUCCCGCUGCCUGGGUUCUCCCUACUAUAAGCCCCUCUCUGAUCUUGGUACAAAGUCAGGGCAAGCCCCAACACCAUGAAUGGCAGGGAUGUGAGACCCAGGCAGUUUAGGUGACCUGCUCAAGGACGCACGCUGUGCACAGUGGCUGAGCCUGCUCCUGUCACGUCCCAGGAGACUUCAGAGUCCUCGUGAUCCCAGCUGUGCUGUGCUCCUCCUUCCGCUGUGGGUCCAAGGCAUGGUUUAUACCAGGACUCCUCCAUGUUUGGGAAACCUUCACGGGGCACCGCUGCUGUUAUUUCUCCUCCCUUUCUUAAGUUUAAGCAAAAAGUUCCAUCCAUGGGUAGCAUUCUUUACAACUUAGACUCGUCAAUGAUCAGCAAGAAUUUAGACUUUGUCAAUCUCAAGAAAAUGAUUAUAAAAUCCAGACAGUGUUCCAGGGCUAUCUGACAAGCAAGAACACCAGUAACUUAGUUCAUUAGAUGCCUUCCAGCGACAGGAUGCUACUUAGACAAGUUCCCCUGAAACUCAGGGCUGCAAGUCUCUAGAUUGAUUAUCUGCAAAUGCAGCCAUCUGCUUCCUGCUGUGACACUUCAUUCCUCCGCCCUGGCUGCACUGCAGACAGACGCUGGGGAGACCUCGCCUUCUCAGGGUGGCACUGUGUGGAAGCCAGGGCUCACCCGGCUCUGUUCCCACAGGGUGGGAGUUUUUCAUUUUAACAGUUACAGAAUCAUCUACACGGAUGUCACCCUGAGAGUUGUAAUCCCCAGGAGAAGUUGUCAUCCAUGUCACUAGCACAGCUUGCUGUGUAUUCUGUUUUGAUUUGGGCUUUGAUUUUUAAUUAAUUCUAGUGAAAAUCUUUUAAUGAAAAUCUUUGCUUCAAAUUUGAAAAAGGUAGACAGCAACCUGCAACACACAGGCAGAUGAUCAAUAAAUAGUCCUCUCACUGAAGAGUGGUGUGAAUUCGCUAGUUAAGACAUACCUAUUAGAUAUGUUUAAAAAAUGUGUUUCAAUGGAAAACUGUAACACAUACUUCUGGGUUGUUCAUUGUCUUUGAACUAUUUUACAAUUCUUUGCAAAUUGCAGGUAACUGAUGGAGAUAUAUAGACAUAGAUCGAUCUAUCUAUCUAUCUAUCUAUCUAUCUAUCUAUCUAUCUUCUGCCCUGUCUAGUAGUGAUUUUUACUGGCUUCUUUCUCCUGUAAAAAAUUUGAAAAUAAAUAAAUAAAAAAGUUUUCUUUCCAUUUGCAACUCAUUUCAAAAUUCCUUUACUCCAUAUAAAUUUGUAUUGUUUUCACUUUUCCUUUAAACUAUUUCUAACAUCUGCCUAGUUCCCUUCUAUCAUAUGUGUAAAAUAAAAUCUUUAAGAGUUGUGUAUUUUAAUAUCUUGGUGCAAGUCAUUGUUUUACCUUUUUCUGAAAAUUAUCUUUCAGAUAAUAUAUAAAGAACAUGCUGUACUGUUUAGAUUUUUUUUUAAUUUUGCAAGCGACCGGAAUUGUGUUAUUACCCAAAUCAAUGUUCCUGAGCAUUUGGUGAGCAGAAUUUUUAAGGAAAACUUGGUGGGUGCGGGGGAAGCCAGUGAGCUGGGAGCGCUGAUUGGUCAGGGGUGAAAUCACAGGGAGUCAAAGCUGUCUUCUUUCACCGAGUCAGAUCCUGGGUGGGGGCCGCAAGUCAGAUGAGCCAGUUUAUCCAUCUGGGUGGUGUCAGCUGAUCUAUCAAGUGCAGGGUCGGCAAAAUAGCUCAAGCACUAAUCUUAGGAGCAGUUUAGGGAGGGUCAGAAUCUUGUACCCUCCAGCUACAUGACUCCUCCACCAUGAUUUCUUAUCUCGUGGUUAUUGUUAGCCCUACAAAGGCAAUUUAGUCUUCAGGCAAGAAGGAGGUCUGCUUUGGGAAAGGGCUGUUACCGUCUUUGAUUUAAACUAUAAACUAAGUUCCUCCCAAAGUUAAUUCAGCCUCGGUCCAAGAAUGGACAAGGACAGCUUGCAGGUUAGAAGCAAGAUGGAGUCGAUCAAGUUAGAUUUCUUUCACUGUCUCAGUCAUAAUUUUGCAAAGGUAGUUUCAAUCCCUCCCUUUGUGUUUUAUAACACCUUAAUCUUGAGGUUAGCCUAUGAAGAUGGGAAAAGACUGCGGAUCGCUCUGGCGUCUUCCUGCUGACAGAGGGCGUAGUGGGAAUGGGAGUGAACCCCAAGGUGAGAGGAGUGAACCCCAAGGUGAGAGGAGUGAACCAAUUUACUGCUGUCUGGGCGACGCAUGCAGGUCUGACUGGGCUUCCAAACCUUGCAUGGCAAAAGCAUUAGUACCCUCAUCUAUACUUUCAGUACAGUAUUUAACUGAACAGUGUACCAUAAGGUAAAUAACGAGUCCUAGGAUGAGCAGUACAAUUCCCAGUUUUAAAAGCAAUGAUUAGAAAGCAUGAGUUUGGGGACUUCUAACCCACAAAGAAUUUAGGAAUUAAUCCAAACUGCAGAAAAAAACCUCAAUAACAGCUAACAACAGGUGUACUAUAGCUUUCUUUUGAAAUAUAAUUUUUCUCUCUUCAGUCCCCAUUUUUAUUAAAAACAAAUCAUGAUAGAACGGAUUUGUUUACAAAAUCAACUUUAGUCUUCCCGUACUUGGCCUGAUCAUUUGCAGCAAGAAUAAUUAUUUUUCACUUAGGCUCUUUUUAAUGGGCUUUGAUGGAAUUCUGUUCCAUGAGGAAUCCCACAUAUGACUUUUUAAAAGCCGAGCCCAGCCAUCGGUUUGUACCCUCAAAUAACUAUGAGUUGGGUAAAUUCCUCUCCUCUUGAGGCCCAAAGGUAACUUGGGGUUAUCUAAGUGACAUUCAUUACUUACCACAGGUCAGGAACCUUGUACAGGAACUGCAUAGAUGAGGUAUGAGGUCAGAUUCCCCAAGAGACUUAUACCUGAUUAUAAACUGCCAAAGCAAGACGAAAUGUCUGUGUAUGAUAGAAGUCUUAAGAUAGCCACUACUAAAGCUACAAUUGACUAGAAUUUUGUUUACUUCUGUGGCAUACAACAAUUUUGUAUAAAAAUUAUAAUUAUUAAUAACACUAAAUUAUAUCAGAAUUAUAGAAGUUUCCCAUAAUUUUGAAACACAUACUAAUAACAUAUCUAUACAGAUACAGUCCAAAGACAACCAAACACUAUUCACUCUUCUAUUUGAAAGUUUUUUUCUCUAUUCUAACGUCACAAUCUCCAGGUUAUUAAUCAGAAAUCUGCACUGAAGAGCCCCUGUUAAAUUUUAUAGCUGAUUAUAAAACCAUCCUUUAAAGAGGACUGGCCAGGCACAGUGGCUCACACCUGUAAUCCCAGCACUUUGGGGGACCGAGGUGAGUGGAUCACCUGAGGUGAGGAGUUCGAGACCAGCCUAGCCACCAUGGUGAAACCCCGUCUCUACUAAUAAUACAAAAAUUAGCCGAGCAUGGUGGCACACACCUGUAAUCCCAUCUGCUCAGGAGGCUGAGGCAGGAGAAUUGCUUGAACCCGGGAGGCAGAGGUUGCAGUCAGCCAAGAUCGUGUCAUUGCACUCCAGCCUGGGCGACAAGAGUACAAGAGUGAAACUCCAUCUCCAAAAAAAAAAAAAAAGAAAAAAAGAGGACCAAAAUGAGACAACAAUUGCCUGUGGAUGACAAAACAUUUUAGGGCAGCCACAGUUAAAGACACAAUUGGCAAGGAAAUUUGUUACCUCUGUGGCACACAGUCAUUUAACAUAAUAAUUAUAAUUAUUACUGAUAACUUAUACUAAGUCAUAUUAGAAUUAUAGGUGUUUUACAUAAUUUUGAAAUAUGUGUCAAUAACAUAUUUGCACAAAUAUAGCCCAAAGAAAGCCAAACACCAUGUCAUAUUUGACAAUGCUUUCUGUAUGAUUUUUAUACCAAAUAAGCCAAAUGUCAUUUUUGGACUUUAAAGAACCUAAUAUCUAAAAGGUUAAAAAGAGACAUAAUUUAUAAUUUGGUUUUGGAACGUUUGUCAAAUAUCAAAGGUUUAAAACACUGAAUAUCACAAAAUAGCAUCCCAGGUCACCAUAAGUCAUCCAUUUGGCCAAAAUGAUAGCUCCAAAAAUUUUAAAAAGGAAAAAUCUUUACUCUGAUAGAGGAGACUUAGCUUUCCAACAAGACCCAGUGAAGAUAGCAUGAGGCCAACUGAGUCUGUCUUUUCUCUCUCCUCCCCUUUUUCCCUGCCACUUACCUAAAAGAGGAAAGAAAACCCUUUCAUUAUCCUUUAAUAUUACAUAAAAAUCAUCUUCAAAAGAGAAAACCAAAUUUCAUGUUUGCAUUAGUGCAUCUUUAAUGCUAAAGCUAGUUUUUAAAUAAAAUUUUAUAUAUCUGUCCAGUUUUAAUUAGUUUGACCAUAAGGUAAGAUUUUCAUGAACUUUUUAGAACCCUUUCCAAUUUUCCAUCAAACAGCAGAUCAAUUUUCUAAGCAAACCCUAUUAUUCGGACACGUGGGCCCAGACGCUGGCCCUGUAUCAGUAUGGUUUUAGUGUUUUAACUUAUGGAGAAAAGCUAAAUAAUUUCUUUCAAAUCUUAGCCAACUUGUUUAUACCCACAGAAUUUUUUUUUUUUUUUUUUUUACAAAUCAACCCUUUACAAACCCUUUUCACUUUGAGUAAGCCUUCGGUUUUAUCCCAUUACUCUUUUAGGUUAACACAAUCUUUAAAACCCUCUGAACUAGACAAAAUUACAUUCCCUUUAACAGAAGCCAUAUUCCCAUACCUUCUUAUAAUCUUUUAUCAAAAACACAUUCCCUACACACCAUGUAUGUAAAGCUGUUUCUCCAGUGGUCUCAAUGUUACAUUGUUAAUUCUUAGCAGCUUUUGUUUUUAGUGAAAACCCUGAUGAGUAAGUGAUUUUAAUUAUGUACUGGGUGGAGCCCAGGACAUCAGGCAGAAGUGAAGAUGAGGUCUGACUCUUUUCAGCAUGGCCAGGGGCAUGGCUCUCCACAGCUCCCCAGGCCUCCUCUGUCAUCUAAUCCUCCAAAGCAGGUAAACUGAACAAUUUUUCCAAAGGAAACAGUUUGACCUUAAAGCAUUUAGCAAAUCUGAUAUCUGACCUUAAUUUAGACCAAAUACCUACAUUUUCAAGACAUGUUAUUUUACCAGUAAUCUUUAAAACUGUCUUUAUUUGCAAAAGAUUACUAAAGCCAUUUGAAGAAAAAGGCAUUAAAGAUUUUUUCUGUCAAAAUAUUUCAUUUACAUGCUUAUUUUUCUAAGCCAAUUAUCAGAGCUCUUUUACAUACAAACAUCACACACCCAACACAUAUAAAUACGCAGACAGAAAUACAGAAGAUUUAGCACUUGUAACAUUUUUCAUUUGCCAGUUUUCUUAAUUGGAUUACUGACUUCAGGGUGGAGCCCUUGAAGGAACAGAGUCAGGAAAGCAUGCAAUUCUUGGGCCAAAUAAGCAGGAACAGGUGAAGGCAAAGACAGAUCCCCAAAGUUAAGGGUGCCAUUUUAUACUGGAUCUUGAAUCCUCAAAAGGAGGAAAAUCCUACAGGAGAAGAGACAGUGCAAUGCUUCUACGUGCAUUUCAUGGCAAGGCCACCCAAAGCCAAUCAGCCCAUCCCCCACGGGAGCUUCAUCUCUCAGCUGAGGGUGGGGACCUUUCCAUGUCUUCCAGGUGUCCACGAGCAUUUGCUUCUCUGAUCCAAGUGUGCAGUCAAGUAUCCCUCCAUAACUACUGCUAGCCAUCCCCUAAAGUAUUUCCUACCUUGUUAUUACACACCCAAGCUCUCUCGUAAUGUGAAGUAAUUUCUUAAAACCCCAAGAACUCAAAACUGUCAGAUAACACAAUGCAAAACAGAGCAGAGCUUUUGAUUUUGAGAGGGAUCUAUCCGCUUUUAGUUCCUAGGGUUUCAUGAGGAAAACAGAGCUUUUUUCCAAAACAGGGUCUAUGGUGCCUCCUGUUUUUUUCAAGGAGUACCAGGCUACCAGAAGAGGACCUCUCAUGUAUGCAUUAAGAUUAGCAAGACAAAAAAAUUGAGAAAAAUAAUUAAGUCGACUGAGAAGAAAAAAACCUUUUUUCCAGAAAAACAAGAUCCAAGAAGGGAACAACAUAAAUGCCUUUUAAAUAUAUCUAUAGCUUGUUUAUCCACUUUUAAUCAAGCUGACUUUUAACCAGAGCGCUCUUAAAAAAAAGUCCUUUUAAAUUUCUUAUUACCCGACUUUAGCCAGGCGGCCAAUAUUUCUGGCUUUUGAACUUUACCAAAGGUGACCUCCCAGAUGCUUCAAAGACAUGGUAAGCAGUUUCUUUUUUACAAGAUUUAGAAUCUUCCCAAGGUAGUUCAGAGAAAGGAAAAUUCAAGAGAAGAAAUCAGAAACUCCCUGGGGGGGGGAAAAACAACUCAAUAAAUGGCAAAAUUACACAACUAACAAAUCAGAAAGGAAUAAUUCCAGAAAGCAAGAAUUGAACCCAGGCCACCAUCAUCAAAAGGCAAAGCCUUAGCUACUGUAUUAUGGCAUUGAGCAGUUUUUAUUGCUUUUCCCAGAAGGGUCCUAGAGAAGCCAAUUUCAAGCUUGCCAAGGCUUUUAACUGGUCAAGAAAAUUUUUAGGGCUAUGACAUGAACUCUAAAAUUCCUGUCCUCUAAGACCGAAUCUAAGAGAAUCUAAGGCCGAAUCUAAGAGAAAGUGUCUGCACAUGGUCACAAGGUUAAGCUCUUAAGGACACAAAACAAGACAGAGAUAUUUCAUCUGGUAUUGGUUUCAGGAACCCACAGCAAAAUUUGUAACUGACCAGUCUGCUGGGCUGGCUUGUAAUGCAGGUUAUGGGGUCCUAAACCCACGUUCUAGCCUGUGCUAUCCCUCUGUCCAUUACAGAACACAGAAAGACAAAUUCUCAGCACAAAGUACACCAGAUUUGCUAUAACCUAAGAGUAGUCUCACAAAUCCCUUGUCUAUUAAUCAAACCCUUGCAGAGAGACAAAUAGUGACGAUUACCGUUUACACAGACAGAGGAAGAGAGAGAGACCAGAAACUUGGCUGGUAAGAAUUUCUUACCCUUUUUGCCGGCAUACCAGGUUUCCGGGCUCCCUUUCUCUGCAGCUUCCAGAAGAAUGGAGCAGCUCUGAUGACCCUGCUCGCUAGUGCCAUGGCUGUGGGGUUCAAACCACUUUACAAGAGAAAAUCACCCCUUUCUGUGUUAUGGAACCACAGACAAGAUUCUUAAUUUGCAAGAUGCUGCCCAACAGGCUGCCUGGGGAACCCAAUUAACAUUUUCCAUCCCAGCGAAAUACACAUAACAAAACAGACAUGAAUCACCUCAUUCAGCACCCACUAUCAGCCUGGCAAAGCCCAAACUUUCUCCCGUUGGUCUCUGUUGUCUUUGAUCCACCCCAGCUGGGGCGGGAUGACCUCCAAAGGGUAAUUCACAAUGGGGUCUCUGGGCAAGGCGAAGAGCACAUAGUCACCCCGAGACAGGCCUGCUGAGCAUUUUUCAGGGCUCACCGAAUGUGACCAGACAAAUAAGGAGGGUUCUCUGAGUUAGGCCUGCUGAACGUCCAUCAGCAAUUCCCUCUGAGAUCCCCUCCACAUAUACAAACACACAUAAAGACAAGAUGAACACAGCGUUUUCCAAAUCAGAUCCCUAACCAAGAACUCCAAGAGUGUCCCUUCCAAACUGUCCUUCUAUUCUCCAUCUGAGAAAUCUCCUCGAAAUCUUCCUGAUUGAGGAGAAGUCUCCCAAACCAAGACUCUUUCUACUAGUUAGAAAGAGCCAACUGAGGCUGGGCGCAGUGGCUCGCGCCUGUAAUCCCAGCACUUUAAGAGGCCAAGGCAGGAGGAUCACUUGAGGACAGAAGUUCGAGACCAGCCUGGCCAGUGUGGUAAAAUCCCAUCUCUACAAAAAAUGCAAAAAUUAGCCGGGCAUGCUGGUGCACACCUGUAGUGCCAGCUACUCAGGAGGCUGAGGCAGCAGAAUCACUUGAUCCCAACUCAGGAGGCAGAGGUUGCAGUGAGCCAAGAUUGUGCCACUGCACUCCAGCCUGGGUGACAGAGGGAGACUCUGUCUCAAAAAAUAAAUAUAAAAGAAAGAGCCAACUGAGACCCCCAGGAGACAAACUGAGACAGACACCCCGAAUUGGGUUACAGACACAGACACCCCAUGGUGGAGCUACAAGCCAACAUCCCUCAGUGGGGCUACAGACACCCCACCGGAGGGUACAGAACCAGUCAGCAGAAGGAAGGAGGCAUUGGCAAUGCCUAGGAUACUCACCAACCCAGAUAUCCUGCAAUGGGGUUACAAACAUAUACCCCACCAUGGGGCUACAGACAGACAUCCUGUGAUAGGGUUACAGUUAAGAGAUGCCUCCCCAGGACUAUAAUUCUAUUGCAAUUAAAUCCAUGCAUAUUGCGUCGGCAGCGCCCCACCAGCAGAGAGAAUACCACAAUUAGCCCCUAGUCCGAGAGAACUACGUGGCCGCUUGGUCUGGCCUCUGGAUCCAUCGCUGGAGAGGGGGCUACUGAACCAUGGGCAGGCAGCCACAAGGGCAAUCCCGGAUGAGCCCACACAUUUGUAACUGCCCAAGGGGUUCACCUUGCCCACUGCCUAGACAGAGCUGAUUUAUCAAGACAGGGGAAUUGCAAUAGAGAAAAAGUAAUUUACGCAGAGCCAGCUGUGCGGGAGAAGAGAGUUUUAUUAUUACUUAAAUCAGUCUCUCUGUUUAGAUUUUUAACCCAUUGCUUAUAUUUUGUUCUAUGUGAGUGAGAAUGGGCUACUAGGAAUAAGAAAAUAUAUUCUUUCUUUGAUUCAGUUGAGUAUGACCGUAAACGAAGGGUGCAAUACUCAUGGAAUUUUCCACCGAAAAUUAUGUGUAUAUUUGAAAUCAAGCAGAGCAGUGCAACAGAAAAAUCAACAAAGAUGCCAGAUCCUUAUCCUUGGAGGAUAAAAAAAGUAGGCAUGUGUGAAAGAGAUUAGGACUGCCUGACAUAUGAUGGUUAGUUGAAUUUAGUCUGAAUUUCAGUGGAGUCCAGCUGGGAAAACAAGACUGCAUGAAAUACCUAGAAAACAAUACCAGGCAAUCCACAAUUCACUGUGAGAUUGUGUAAUAAGCGAUGUUCUUAAGGAAGUCCAUGAGCGCAGGAAGGUAUUUGCUUUGAGAGGAUUCCAGUGCCCUUACUUCCUCUUCAGUUCCCGUCACUGGCCUUUUAUUGAUGUGUAUUAGUUUGAGACUUCAAAACCCAAUCUCAUGUUUCAAGGUACAGAUGUAACUGUACAUUAGAUACUCAAAAGCCGAGGAUGAGGUCUCGGGAUCAGCAAAGCUGGCCACCUGCCUUGAGAGCGGCUCCUACCCCCUGCAGGCGCCCC
rnacentral:lncRNA from 10 species